CGUCAUUUCGAGAUGCUCGGCAGCGCAGCGGAGGGGAACUGCAGAGGAGGCGGAGAGGUCGAUCUUGACGCCGUAGCAGAACUUUGCCACCAUCUCGAAGCUCUCUGAGCUCCCGGGAAAAUCUUCAAGAGUUAUCUAGUGCCAUGGAGGUUUGGGGAUUUAUAGAAGAAAAUGAUCUGGUCUCCUGCUCUGUAAUCAACCUGUGAAGUUUCCUGCUCUUUGACAUGAGAGGAAACUGGAGAGUAACAACAACAAGAGCAGGAGAUUGAGGUAAAAGAAUUUUUUUAAAAAAACUAAGAAAACGAAAAGACAGAAUCUGAAGGCGUUUAUGGACGUAAACCUUAUGGAGAUGAAAUGUCAUAUCAUCAACUUCGAUUUCAAUGUCGCUAGGUAAUCCAGUCGUACAGAACCUUCAUGAACAAGAAAACAAAAUGUUAGAAGGAUAAAUUCCUGUUUUUCAUCUCAAACAUUAUCGUGAUUGAUUAUAAAAUAAACAGUGUUAGCUCUCAUCACCAUGCUUGACCCUUGGAGGUAGACUUCUCUGACGACGCCAUUGUAGACCACACUGGUGAAGAAAGCUCUGAAAAAAACACUCACAGAAGAAACCAAAACCUCUGUCUUUCUAAGAGAAUGUGGAGAGGAAAAGAGAGAGAAGAAAGGGGAGGAAUUGGGAUACUAAAUCAUGAGAAAGAGACUGAUUAAAAAACAAUUAUUCGUAUAUCGAAAAAGGGGAUCUCGUUUUUGAUCCAUCUUUCCUUUUUUUUCCUACAAAUUUGUUCUUUUUAUAAAUUAAUCUUUUUAGUUGGAGAACAGCAAGAAUCUCAACUACUCUCUCAAGACGACACAUUUUCAGAUAAAUUUCGCUUUGGGACAAGCAAAAUCCCACUCAUUUGUUAAUCAUGUAUUCUAAUUAACUAUAGACGCUGCCAUUUUAUGCUU